UGGUCUAUUCAAGAGUUCCUUA
rnacentral:miRNA from 1 species